rnacentral:sRNA from 12 species
UAUUUAUGUUCCCUAGACUUUACGCUGUGGAAAUGCGGUACUUUCCGUAAGAGAAGCACGUGGGUUCGGAAGCGUCCAUACUUUUGGAAUGCUUCUUAGGG